rnacentral:rRNA from 1 species
CCUACGGGUGGCAGCAGUGAGGAAUAUUGGUCAAUGGACGAGAGUCUGAACCAGCCAAGUAGCGUGAAGGAUGACUGCCCUAUGGGUUGUAAACUUCUUUUAUAUGGGAAUAAAAUGUUCCACGUGUGGGAUUUUGUAUGUACCAUAUGAAUAAGGAUCGGCUAACUCCGUGCCAGCAGCCGCGGUAAUACGGAGGAUCCGAGCGUUAUCCGGAUUUAUUGGGUUUAAAGGGAGCGUAGGUGGAUUGUUAAGUCAGUUGUGAAAGUUGGCGGCUCAACCGUAAAAUUGCAGUUGAAACUGGCAGUCUUGAGUACAGUAGAGGUGGGCGGAAUUCGUGGUGUAGCGGUGAAAUGCUUAGAUAUCACGAAGAACUCCGAUGGCGAAGGCAGUUCACUGGACUGCAACUGACACUGAGGCUCGAAAGUGUGGGUAUCAAACAGUAUUAGAUACCCCAGUAGUC